GAUUAACGCUGGCGGCGUGCAUAACACAUGCCAGUCGAACGAUGAAACUCAUUAGAUUUCUUCGGAAUGAAAAUGAAUGGAUUAGUGGAGAACGGGUGAGUAACGCGUGAGUAACCUGCCUUACACAAGGGGAUAGCCUCUGGAAACGGAGAAUAAUACCCUAUGAAACCAGACAAUCGCAUGAUAAUCUGGUCAAAAUGUUUAGUGGUGUAAGAUGGACUUGCGUCUGAUUAGCUAGUUGGUGAGAUAAAAGCUCACCAAGGCAACGAUCAGUAGCCGGCUUGAGAGAGUGUACGGCCACAUUGGGACUGAGACACGGCCCAGACUCCUACGGGAGGCAGCAGUGGGGAAUUUUGCACAAUGGGGGAAACCCUGAUGCAGCGACGCCGCGUGAUUUAGAAGGCCUUCGGGUUGUAAAAAUCUUUUGUAUAGGAAGAAAAUGACAGUACUAUACGAAUAAGGUCCGGCUAAUUACGUG
rnacentral:rRNA from 1 species